UGUUAUAGAAUUCUAGGCUGUUGGUUUUUUAAAUCAAAACGUCCUGCAGUGGAAGUUUAAAAGAAUUGUCAGCUGACUGCACCACAGUGUAACCAUCCUGAAGGCCUCAGAAUGCUUCUGAAGAGCAGUGAGGGUCUCUAUUUAUGGAGAACUUAGGAUACUGUGCUAGGACGAGACCCCGCAAGGUGCUGAGUGCCUUCGACUCUCACUGGCUUUGGGAAAUGCAAGAGGUGAUCAGCACAUCGCAGGACUGAUCCAUUACAACAACCUAUCGAGAGGUAUUUCUAGAUUCACUAUCAUUGUGGUGUCUUCCUUUGGAGUCUUCAACCAGAAGGAGGUUGUGACAGGGAGGAGACUCAAAACUAGAGAUGGGCCCAAGCAGCAGAGAGCAGACCAACAUUCAAGUCUGAGCAGCCCCAAAAGUUCAGAGGGGGUCCUUAUCAGUGUUCUGGUUUGGUCUAUUAUAGGACAUGGGCAUGAGCCAUAAAGACCAAAUCCAGAUCAACCUGAACCGCACUAUAGGUCAGGUGAGAGGAUGGAGUUCUACACAACUGCAAUAAUGAAGAAAGGACUAUGGGUGACAUGCUCACCCCAAGAUGAUGUGAAGUGGAAGGUACAGCAUAGCCCAAGAGAUAGCACACAAGACGGAGGCAGAAGACCAGAUUUCUCCUCCAAGCUUUGCCAUUCAAAUGUCGUGUGGCCUUGGUCACUUGUCCCCAUUUAGAUAAGUAAACAGAGGCACAGCAAGCUUAAAACUUAACCAACUGUGUAAAGAGGUCUAAUGAAACCCUUUAAAUGACCCCUGGAUUGAUAGCUAUCAGUC